GCCAGCGUGGCUCAGUGGUUGAGCGUCGGCCUAUGAACCAGGAGGUCACGGUUCGAUUCCCGUGCCUGGGUG
rnacentral:tRNA from 1 species